CAUGUGUACCAGGAAUCCGUCACAGUACAUGAGUGGUAAUGAUUGUGACCGGCGAUGCCUGGCUAGGACUGUCCAUGCGAACAGACAAGCGACAAUGGCAGAAUUUACAUCCCCAUUAAAUGCAGGAAACCACAUAUAGAGAUGUUGUGUCUCAGUAAGGUCAGUAGGUGGAGUAGCAGAGCUCAGAGAAAGCUGCUUGUGAACACACUCCCUAUAUGCGUAUCUGUGAAAAUGACCUUCAGCGCUGACUGGACACAGACUCUCACGUUUGCAUCAGCAGCUUUACCCUCAGAUCCUGUUCCUCCAUCCGUCACAGAGCCUCUCUGCCUCCCCAUGCAGAUCAAUGGAGCAGGGGCUGCGGUGUAAGGUGAGACUUGGCCCAGGUUUAUGCAGCCUGCACUGUGCUUUAUAUUAUGGUGGUAUUUGUGCUUCAUUUUCAGUCAUGUAGAAUUUUUGGGAACCGAGGGAUAACAUUCUCCUGACUCACGGUCAAAAAUAGCAGUGAAACUCAGAGAGGAAGAGGAAUAUUCACGAUAUGGUUUAAAAUAGGACAUGGAGGAAAUGAGGGUAAGGAUAUGAUGCAAAUUCAUAGCUAAAGCUUAAGACAUGCACGCUGCAGAUGCAGAUAAAUGGUAAGAAAAGCAGCUCUUCUACAGAUCAGAGCACAAUUCUUCUGCAGUGCAUAAUGAUUAUAUAAAAUAACAUUACAUUUGGCAGAUGCUUUUGUCCAAAGAGACUUUAUGUACAAAUAUUGAUGUACAUAUAAUGUACAUCAAACCUGGGCCAAGUCACUUUUUUUUUUUUUUUCUCACUUUUGUUUUUAUCUAUUAUUUAUUUGAUAUUUAUUCACUGUUACUCUUGUGCAAUAAUACUGGUCCACCCUACCAUAAUCAUAUCUCUAUGCACUAGAUGUAUAUAUAUAUAUUUUUUUUUUCUUUUACUAUAUAUAAUUUUUUAAACUCUUUAUAUAUUUUCCUACAAUAGGUUUUCUGUAUAUAUAGAUUUAUCAUUAUUUGUAUUUACCUUUUCCUGACCUGUUUCUCUGUCCUUUACUCUGCACUGCUGUAACAUGGUAAAUUUCCCCAUUGUGGGAUUAAUAAAGGAUUAUCUUAUCUUAUCUUAUCUU